rnacentral:tRNA from 1 species
GCUCGCUUAGCUCAGUUGGUUAGAGCGUGUAAGUCCAUCACACAUUCAUUCGAACAACUACUUACAAUCCUUCAGGGUGCUAAUAUCAAAAACUUGAUACGCCAAGGUCGCCGGUUCGACCCCGGUAGUGAGCA